rnacentral:rRNA from 1 species
UUAUUAUGAGAGUUUGAUCCUGGCUCAGGACGAACGCUGGCGGCGUGCCUAAUACAUGCAAGUCGAACGCUUCUUUUCUGCCGAGUGCUUGCACUCAUUUGAAAAGAGGAGUGGCGGACGGGUGAGUAACACGUGGGUAACCUACCCAUCAGAGGGGGAUAACACUUGGAAACAGGUGCUAAUACCGCAUAAUAAUCGACACCGCAUGGCGUUGAUUUGAAAGACGCUUUCGGGUGUCACUGAUGGAUGGACCCGCGG